AGUUAAAACUGAGGCGCGAGAGGGUGGGUGGGUUUGAGAUCCCACAGCUUGGCAGGAGCGCACCCAGGCCUGCUGCUUCUACCCGUGAACACAGGUCAAGGGAAACAAACACUAAUGGAGGCCAUGUGGGCUGGAUGUUAGAACAUGUCAUGACACUACAUGUGGGACCCAACAAAUGGGGUGAGUAGGGAGUAGGGCAGACGCCCAACUACCUCCCAGUUUCCGAGCUCGGGAGCUAAGUUGCUCACGGUGCUGACCUGGGGAAUGCCGGGAAGGCGUGCGAGCGCCGAGCCCAGCGCUCUCCUCCCCCAGCUGCACAGCCUUCGGCUGCCCUCUGCCGCCACGGGAAAGGCUUUGCAAGCCUGGUCGCCCUUGCCCUCGCACCGCCCACCUCUCGCCUCCAGAUUGGCGGCUCCAGUAGGCUCCGGCCCCGCCCAUUUCCCCGGGUCCUUUGAUCACGCGCCUGCCGGCUCUUCCGGAGUCCCGGAGCCAACCGAGGGCGUUCCUGUCCGGGCUGCAGCGGUGGGAGGUAAGGCAUGGCCGCUGGGCAGCAGAGCGCCGGCACGGGUCCACGCCUCGGGGUGCCGGGAUUCCAAGAUGUCCAGGCGCAGGGCGGCCUCUCCGCGAUCCCCCAACAUUACCCCACCCCUGGGCUGAGCCUCCCAGCGCCGUGGAAACUACCUCCUGUCUGUCGUUGGUGGCCCGCAUCCUAGAAGCGGCCUGACGCCCUCCCCACCCUGGCAUGCCCCCUCGACCUGGGACGGGAGCCCACUGGAGGCGCCCUCCCGAAGUACCACUGCCCAUGCUGACCACUCAGCCCUCCACCUGCGGAUGUCAUGAGUAACACCACAGUACCUAAUGCCCCCCAGGCCAACAGCGACUCCAUGGUGGGCUAUGUAUUGGGGCCUUUCUUCCUCAUCACCCUGGUCGGGGUGGUGGUGGCUGUGGUAAGGAACCCCCACAUACACACAUACACACCCUUGCUACAGUAGGGUCUGGGUGGGCCUGAUCUGGUCUGCACAGUCUCAGCUGUUCUGUGAAGGGGGUGGAGGUGGGUCCCGUUUGGCUGUGGUGGGCCUUCACAGGCUCAGCAGCCUCCACAGUGCUGUCUCUGUUCCAGGUGAUGUAUGUACAGAAGAAGCAACGGUAAGUAUUCCACUACCCCCAACUCCACCUGCGUUCUGCUGAAGUUUCUUCCAGUAGGAUCCAAGUUCUCUGAGCACGUUAGGGGGUCCCUCAGCCAUCCUGCUACAAGCUUGAAACGUUUCCCUUGCCAGUCUGUUUCUUUACUGGGGAGAAGCCUCUUUACAGAAUCAGGAGUGGAGACCAGGCAGUCAAGGAUACCUGGGCUGAGCCCCCUUGUUCCUCCCCAGGGUGGACCGUCUUCGCCAUCACCU